rnacentral:rRNA from 1 species
GACGAACGCUGGCGGCGUGCCUAAUACAUGCAAGUAGAACGCUGAAGGAGGAGCUUGCUUCUCUGGAUGAGUUGCGAACGGGUGAGUAACGCGUAGGUAACCUGCCUGGUAGCGGGGGAUAACUAUUGGAAACGAUAGCUAAUACCGCAUAAUAUUGACUAUUGCAUGAUAGUCAGUUGAAAGGUGCAACUGCACCACUACCAGAUGGACCUGCGUUGUAUUAGCUAGUUGGUGGGGUAACGGCUCACCAAGGCGACGAUACAUAGCCGACCUGAGAGGGUGAUCGGCCACACUGGGACUGAGACACGGCCCAGACUCCUACGGGAGGCAGCAGUAGGGAAUCUUCGGCAAUGGACGGAAGUCUGACCGAGCAACGCCGCGUGAGUGAAGAAGGUUUUCGGAUCGUAAAGCUCUGUUGUAAGAGAAGAACGAGUGUGAGAGUGGAAAGUUCACACUGUGACGGUAUCUUACCAGAAAGGGACGGCUAACUACGCGCCAGCAGCCGCGGUAAUACGUAGGUCCCGAGCGUUGUCCGGAUUUAUUGGGCGUAAAGCGAGCGCAGGCGGUUAGAUAAGUCUGAAGUUAAAGGCUGUGGCUUAACCAUAGUACGCUUUGGAAACUGUUUAACUUGAGUGCAAGAGGGGAGAGUGGAAUUCCAUGUGUAGCGGUGAAAUGCGUAGAUAUAUGGAGGAACACCGGUGGCGAAAGCGGCUCUCUGGCUUGUAACUGACGCUGAGGCUCGAAAGCGUGGGGGAGCAAACAGG